GAAUUGAGAGCUCUUUGUUUUGAUACCCCAAAUUUUUUUAUUUUUAGAAAAAUAGCAAGUGCACAUAGUGAAUAUGUACCUAUUUAGUAUAUUUUUUCUAUUUUUUAUUUUAUGUUUAUUGAUGAUAUGUAAAAUUUUGUUGAUCUAUGAAUCUAGAGUUGUUUUCAAGAUGGAUAGAAUCAAGGCCGGUUUUACCCAAAAAGUCGUUUCAAUUCGGUAGAAUUUUACUAACCACAAUAAACUGAACCAAAC
rnacentral:lncRNA from 1 species